GGUCGGCGGCGGCAGCUGUGGGCGGUGAGCGCGUGUGACUCGGCUUGGUACAGUCGUUCGCGAGUGCCGGGGACGACAGCGCGUGGUGGAAAGGACGCCGCCACUUGCCCGCACGUGAGUGCUCGUGUCUGCGCGUCGUGUGAGCGCAACCGGUCCCUCACGUGGCCGCUAUUUUUGACCGGGUCGUGAGCGGCCCGAGCGAGGCAGUGAGGCUAGCCUGCGGGCGUGGGCGUGGGGUGGCGGUGGCACCCCUAUUUUCGGCGCCUACCAAGAGUCUGAAGGCCUCACCAACCGAGCACGAUGGCUCCUGUGGACGGCUUCUGGGGCCAGCCCACAUCAACACUCGACUGGUGUGAAGCCAACUACGUGGUCAGCAGCUACAUCGCCGAGUUCUGGAACACGGUCAGCAACCUGGCCAUGAUCCUGCCGCCGCUGUACGGCAUAUACGAGGUAUGCCGACAGAAGUUUGAGAUCCGGUUCGCCAUCUGCUUUGUUCUUCUCCUUG